rnacentral:rRNA from 1 species
CUAAUAAAACUACGCUUCGUUGACAUAUAUCAAGUUCAAUUGUAGCACGUUAACAGUUUGAUGAAAUCAUCGUAGCUAAAUGCUAGCUUUCAUCACAAAUUUGCAAUAUUCCAACUAGUUACGUAAGAUGAAGGUGGCCUGUGAGGGUUGCUGGAGGUAUCAGAAGUGCGAAUGCUGACAUAAGUAACGAUAAAGCGGGUGAAAAGCCCGCUCGCCGGAAGACCAAGGGUUCCUGUCCAACGUUAAUCGGGGCAG